ACUUGGAUAGCUUAUAUAGAGCAUGAUAUUGAAGAUAUCAAGGAAAUUGAAUUAUUUUCAGGUA
rnacentral:tRNA from 1 species